GGGGGCUGUGGCUCAGUGGUAGAGCAGCUGCUCUGCAUGCCAGGCUCAAUCCCUGGCAUCCCCA